CCAUCCCUACCCUUUACAGACAGCGUCAGUCUCACUGGUGGGUCCCUAUGCAGUCCAACUUGCUCCAUGUCUGAAUGUCAGUCCUAGAUACAAAGCAGAGAAGUUUAAAGUAGGGAAUGGCUUCUUUUUUCCUUUUACGAAACAUAAUGAUGAUAAGACACAAUACCGGAGUUGGCAUGGGAGAGGUAGAUACAAAGACAUGGAGGGGCAUCCCUUAAGGGAUAUAAAUAGUUUCACAGAUGAAAUGCCUAAAGAAUUAUCUCAAAGGAGGAAAAUGGUAAAAAGGCAAAGAAUAAUGUGUGUGAACUAUCUGGUGCAUGGAGAUUUGCUAGUUUGAGUCCUGGGAGAUGAGAUGGGGAAGAUGGGCCCAAGCUGCAACAUGAAGGUCCAUGAUGAGCAGUUGGCAUCUCCUUGCACAUCAUUGAGCAAGAGGGACACCAUGGAUAAUGGAAAGAUCUACAGCAAGGCUGGCUGUCUGCCCUGUCUAAGGAGGCCGUACUGGACCAUCCUGCUCUGCACAUCCAGAUGUGUCCACGAAUACAUCCAUAAAAUGAUGGCCUGUGGAAUCCUAUAGGAAAAUGAUCCAGAGCCUGGGCGGUCAGAAGGAACAAACACUUGAUUUACAAAAUAAAUCUUCUAUAUUUAUGUUUUAAAGACACACAGAGGAAAAACAUUUUUAAAUUCAUG
rnacentral:lncRNA from 1 species